rnacentral:rRNA from 1 species
CAGCUCCCCGAGUGGUGGGGACGAUUAUUGGGCCUAAAGCGCCCGUAGCCGGCCUGGUAAGUCCUCCGUUAAACCCGGCGGUCUAACCGUCGGAUCGCGGGGGAUACUGCCAGGCUAGGGGGUGGGAGAGGCCGGCGGUACUCCCGGGGUAGGGGUGAAAUCCUAUAAUCCCGGGAGGACCACCAGUGGCGAAGGCGGCCGGCUAGAACACGCCCGACGGUGAGGGGCGAAAGCUGGGGGAGCGAACCGGAUUAGAUACCCGGGUAGUCCCAGCUGUAAACGAUGCGGGCUAGGUGUCGGAACGGUCUUAGAACCGUUCCGGUGCCGCAGGGAAGCCGUUAAGCCCGCCGCCUGGGGAGUACGGCCGCAAGGCUGAAACUUAAAGGAAUUGGCGGGGGGGCACCACAAGGGGUGAAGCCUGCGGUUUAAUUGGAGUCAACGCCGGGAACCUUACCGGGGGAGACAGCUGGAUGAAGGCCAGGUUAAAGGCCUUGCCAGACUAGCUGAGAGGAGGUGCAUGGCCGUCGCCAGCUCGUGCCGUGAGGUAUCCCGUUAAGUCGGGCAACGAGCGAGACCCACGCCCCUAGUUGCCAGCGGGCCCUUCCGGGUGUCCGGGCACUCUAGGGGGACUGCCGCCGAUAAGGUGGAGGAAGGAGUGGGCCACGGCAGGUCAGUAUGCCCCGAAUCCCUCGGGCCACACGUGGGCUGCAAUGGUGGGGACAAUGGGUUCCCACCCCGAAAGGGGGAGGUAAUCCCGGAAACCCCACCCCAGUUGGGAUCGAGGGCUGCAACCCGUCCUCGUGAACAUGGAAUCCCUAGUAAUCGCGCGUCAUCAUCGCGCGGUGAAUACGUCCCUGCCCCUU